UGAGUAAUGUCUGGGAAACUGCCUGAUGGAGGGGGAUAACUACUGGAAACGGUAGCUAAUACCGCAUAACGUCGCAAGACCAAAGAGGGGGACCUUCGGGCCUCUUGCCAUCAGAUGUGCCCAGAUGGGAUUAGCUAGUAGGUGGGGUAACGGCUCACCUAGGCGACGAUCCCUAGCUGGUCUGAGAGGAUGACCAGCCACACUGGAACUGAGACACGGUCCAGACUCCUACGGGAGGCAGCAGUGGGGAAUAUUGCACAAUGGGCGCAAGCCUGAUGCAGCCAUGCCGCGUGUAUGAAAAGGCCUUCGGGUUGUAAAGUACUUUCAGCGGGGAGGAAGGUGUUGAGGUUAAUAACCUCAGCAAUUGACGUUACCCGCAGAAGAAGCACCGGCUAACUCCGUGCCAGCAGCCGCGGUAAUACGGAGGGUGCAAGCGUUAAUCGGAAUUACUGGGCGUAAAGCGCACGCAGGCGGUCUGUCAAGUCGGAUGUGAAAUCCCCGGG
rnacentral:rRNA from 1 species